AGCCACCUGUAUCCGUGCUGAGAUUUCGUCAGAGAUGAGCCCGUUGAGGCUGAUGGUACUUCACAAAUAAAUGAAGCU
rnacentral:pre_miRNA from 1 species